rnacentral:rRNA from 1 species
GCCUUCGCCACGCCCGCUCAAGAAACUUAAAGUAAUUGACGGGGGCCCGCACAAGCGGUGGAGUAUGUGGUUUAAUUCGAUGCAACGCGAAGAACCUUACCUGGUCUUGACAUCCCGGAGACCCUUAGGAAACUAGGGGGUGCUUCCAUCUGGAAGAAUCUGGAGACAGGUGCUGCAUGGCUGUCGUCAGCUCGUGUCGUGAGAUGUUGGGUUAAGUCCCGCAACGAGCGCAACCCUUGCCUUUAGUUGCCAGCAGUUCGGCUGGGCACUCUAAAGGGACUGCCGGUGUUAAACCGGAGGAAGGUGGGGAUGACGUCAAGUCCUCAUGGCCUUUAUGACCAGGGCUACACACGUACUACAAUGGCCGAUACAAAGGGCAGCGACACUGCGAGGUGAAGCCAAUCCCGUAAAAUCGGUCUCAGUCCGGAUUGGAGUCUGCAACUCGACUCCAUGAAGUUGGAAUCGCUAGUAAUCGUGGAUCAGCAUGCCACGGUGAAUACGUUCCCGGGCCUU